AGUCGAGCGAGACCUUCGGGUUUAGCGGCGGACGGGUUAGUAACGCGUGGGAACGUACCUUUUGCUUCGGAAUAGCCUCGGGAAACUGGGAGUAAUACCGAAUGUGCCCUUAGGGGGAAAGAUUUAUCGGCAAAAGAUCGGCCCGCGUCUGAUUAGAUAGUUGGUGGGGUAAUGGCCUACCAAGUCUGCGAUCAGUAGCUGGUUUGAGAGGAUGAUCAGCAACACUGGGACUGAGACACGGCCCAGACUCCUACGGGAGGCAGCAGUGGGGAAUCUUAGACAAUGGGCGCAAGCCUGAUCUAGCGAUGCCGCGUGAGUGACGAAGGCCUUAGGGUCGUAAAGCUCUUUCGCCAGGGAUGAUAAUGACAGUACCUGGUAAAGAAACCCCGGCUAACUCCGUGCCAGCAGCCGCGGCAAUACGGAGGGGGUUAGCGUUGUUCGGAAUUACUGGGCGUAAAGCGCACGUAGGCGGAUUAGAAAGUUGGGGGUGAAAUCCCAGGGCUCAACCCUGGAACUGCCUCCAAAACUACUAGUCUAGAGUUCGAGAGAGGUGAGUGGAAUUCCGAGUGUAGAGGUGAAAUUCGUAGA
rnacentral:rRNA from 1 species